CCGGCAUGGAUACUCCCGGGAGGCCCCUCUCCCCGGCUCUGUCCAGGUGACAUGAAGGAGCACAGGGCGCAGGGCCCCGGAAUGUGCAGCCCUUUUCCACAACGUCGGCGAUCAAGCUGGACCUUGAGCCUGCGCCUGCAUAUUCCUACAGCGUCUCAGAGUUCCGUGGACAAUGACUGAGGAGACAAACCAUGCAGGGCACAGCC
ensembl:snoRNA SNORA73 Small nucleolar RNA SNORA73 family